AGAUAAGAUUUAACAUAUGAGGCAUUUAAAAACUUUGAUGCAGAGAGUAUCGUAAUUUCAUAAAAAGAUAAUUUCGAUACACGAUGUAGAAUGUUAAAUCUUAUACUAGAUUUAAUGAAUAAAUUGAGACUUAUCUUUAAUUAUGUGUCAACGCACCCAUUUGUAUGAAAGUUUGAUUGUUCCAUGGGUAGCUUGGCACACCUACAUCUACACCCUCAUAUUUUCAUUUUGGGUACCCAAGCUUGCUUGGGUCCUUGAGGGUUAGUGCAUAUGGUUCCUUUUGGAACCCAAAUCUGUUUAAUCGUAAUAACUUUACCAUUUGAUUUAUUCGUAUUAGAACCAUAGGUAAAGUUUUUAUGCCCAAUCUUUUUAUGUUUGAAAUAAGUUAUCUUAUUUGAUGGUUUUCUUGGCGAAUUGAUAACCUUUUUUUUUAGGAGUUUAUUGUUGAGCAAAGGAAUCCAGCCAAGUCUUGAUUUAUCAAAAACAGCAUGUUGGCUUUCAAACAUCGUUUUUAAUCUUUCUGAACUUACAGUGAAUUUGUUAAUAAAAGAUUUCAAUUGGUUAACUUCUUCACUUAAGUUUUGAUUUUCUUUAAUUAAAUUCUGAUUUUUCUGAAUCAAUUCUUCUGAAUUUAAUCUUAAGCGUUCAU
rnacentral:lncRNA from 1 species